UACGUAGGGGGCAAGCGUUGUCCGGAAUCAUUGGGCGUAAAGAGCGUGUAGGCGGCCCGGUAAGUCCGCUGUGAAAGUCCAGGGCUCAACCCUGGGAUGCCGGUGGAUACUGUCGGGCUCGAGUCCGGAAGAGGCGAGUGGAAUUCCUGGUGUAGCGGUGGAAUGCGCAGAUAUCAGGAGGAACACCGAUGGCGAAGGCAGCUCGCUGGGACGGUACUGACGCUGAGAAGCGAAAGCAUGGGGAGCGAACAGG
rnacentral:rRNA from 1 species